rnacentral:lncRNA from 1 species
CGCGGCCUCCAGAGCUGUGGUGACGACCAGCCCGGGCCACAGGUCGGCCAUGAGGGCGAGCAGGGCAUGGAAGCAGCGAGCGGUUGUGGCGUUUUUCUCGUCACAGUAGGUGAAGAUGUGUCUCACCACCUUUGGCACCUGGAGGGAGCGCAGGAACUCCAUUGGCACCCGCUUGUCCAGGAGGCUGGAGCGUCCCAGGAUCUCGAUGGCGGUGACAACGGCACAGGUGACAACACCCUCACCUGAACCGUCCAGCUGCUGGGCAUAUCCAGCCAAUUCCUUACGUUUCUGCCGGGAGAGGAAGGUCAUGAGCGAGCAGAGGAUCUCCACCACCGUCCCGCUGCUCUCCUCUUUCCUCAACAACUUCAAGAAGAGAUGGCCCAGCAGCUUGCCCAGCGCCGGGAUCUCUCCGCCGGCAGCGCCGCUCUCCUCCUCCCCACCCGUCUGCAGGAAAACGGGGCCUUUUACCUGCACGAUGGAAGAGUCGGACAGAAAACGGCUCAGCACUUUAAUCCUGCCCAUCACUCUUUCCUGCACGGCCGCGGUGUCGAAGAAGAAAUACUCCAGCAAAACCUGGCCAGAAAUAAAAAAUAAGUUGGGAUUAUAAUAAAUAAUAAUAAUAAAUAAUAAUAAAUAGUAUUAAUGAUAUUAAAU